UACGGGGGGGGCAAGCGUUGUUCGGAAUUACUGGGCGUAAAGGGCUCGUAGGCGGCCAACUAAGUCGGAUGUGAAAUCCCCAGGCUUAACCUGGGAACUGCAUCCGAUACUGGAUGGCUUGAAUCCGGGAGAGGGAUGCAGAAUUCCAGGUGUAGCGGUGAAAUGCGUAGAUAUCUGGAGGAACACCUGCGGUGUAGACGGCUUUCUGGACCAUUGUUGACGCUGAGACACGAAAGCGUGGGUAGCAAACAGG
rnacentral:rRNA from 1 species